AGAGUUUGAUCAUGGCUCAGGAUGAACGCUAGCAGGAGGCUUAAUACAUGCAGGUCGAGCGGGAUCCACCUUUCGGGGUGGUGAGAGCGGCGCACGGGUGAGUAACGCGUACACGACCUACCUCUGACAAGGGGAUAGCCCUGGGAAACUGGGAUUAAUACCCUAUACGAUUCCGGAUAAUAAAGGUCUGGAAUGAAAGCUCCGGCGGUCAGAGAUGGGUGUGCGUCUGAUUAGCUAGUUGGUAGGGUAACGGCCUACCAAGGCGAUGAUCAGUAGGGGGCGUGAGAGCGUGGUCCCCCACACGGGUACUGAGACACGGACCCGACUCCUACGGGAGGCAGCAGUAAGGAAUAUUGGUCAAUGGGCGCAAGCCUGAACCAGCCAUCCUGCGUGCAGGAAGAAGGCCCUAUGGGUUGUAAACUGCUUUUGUCAGGGAAUAAACCUGUGGAUUUAUCCGCAGCUGAAGGUACCUGAAGAAUAAGCACCGGCUAACUCCGUGCCAGCAGCCGCGGUAAUACGGAGGGUGCAAGCGUUAUCCGGAAUUACUGGGUUUAAAGGGUGCGUAGGCGGCUGUGUAAGUCAGGAGUGAAAGUUUGCGGCUUAACCGUAAAAUUGCUUUUGAUACUGCACGGCUAGAAUCAGGAUGAGGUCAGCGGAAUGUGGCAUGUAGCGGUGAAAUGCAUAGAUAUGCCAUAGAACACCAAUUGCGAAGGCAGCUGGCUAGACCUGUAUUGACGCUGAGGCACGAAGCGUGGGGAGCGAACAGGAUUAGAUACCCCGGUAGU
rnacentral:rRNA from 1 species